UUUGUGACAUACCUACAACUGUUGCUUCGGCGGGUAGGCCGUCCCCUGAAAAGGACGCCUCCCGGCCCGGACCGGACCCCCCGUGGGGCCGGACUCGGCGCCCGCCGGAGGAUAACCAAACGCUAUUUUAACGACGUUUCUUCUGAGUGGCAUAAGCAAAAUAAUCAAAACUUUUAACAACGGAUCUCUUGGUUCUGGCAUCGAUGAAGAACGCAGCGAAAUGCGAUAAGUAAUGUGAAUUGCAGAAUUCAGUGAAUCAUCGAAUCUUUGAACGCACAUUGCGCCCGCCAGCAUUCUGGCGGGCAUGCCUGUUCGAGCGUCAUUUCAACCCUCAAGCUCUGCUUGGUGUUGGGGCUCUACGGUCGACGUAGGCCCUCAAAGGUAGUGGCGGACCCUCCCGGAGCCUCCUUUGCGUAGUAACAUUUCGUCUCGCACUGGGAUCCGGAGGGACUCUUGCCGUAAAACCCCCCAAUUUUUCAAGGUUGACCUCGGAUCAGGUAGGAAUACCCGCUGAACUUAAGCAUAUCAAUAAGCGGAGGA
rnacentral:rRNA from 1 species